rnacentral:tRNA from 1 species
GUCGGGAUAGCUCAGCUGGYAGAGCAGAGGAC